rnacentral:rRNA from 1 species
CCUACGGGAGGCAGCAGUGAGGAAUAUUGGUCAAUGGACGAGAGUCUGAACCAGCCAAGUAGCGUGAAGGAUGACUGCCCUAUGGGUUGUAAACUUCUUUUAUAUGGGAAUAAAAUGUUCCACGUGUGGGAUUUUGUAUGUACCAUAUGAAUAAGGAUCGGCUAACUCCGUGCCAGCAGCCGCGGUAAUACGGAGGAGCCGAGCGUUAUCCGGAUUGAUUGGGUUUAAAGGGAGCGUAGGUGGAUUGUUAAGUCAGUUGUGAAAGUUUGCGGCUCAACCGUAAAAUUGCAGUUGAAACUGGCAGUCUUGAGUACGGUAGAGGUGGGCGGAAUUCGUGGUGUAGCGGUGAAAUGCUUAGAUAUCACGAAGAACUCCGAUUGCGAAGGCAGCUCACUGGACUGCAACUGACACUGAGGCUCGAAAGUGUGGGUAUCAAACAGGAUUAGAUACCCCUGUAGUC